rnacentral:rRNA from 1 species
CGAGUUUGAUCCUGGCUCAGGAUAAACGCUGGCGGCGUGCUUUAUGCAUGCAAGUCGAACGGGAAUGGGGGCUUGCUCCAUUUCAGUGGCAAACGGGUGAGUAACGCGUAAGUGACCUGUCCUUGAGUGGGGGAUAACCCCGGGAAACCGGGGCUAAUACCGCAUACGUCGCCGGGGGUCGUACCCUGGCGGUAAAGCCGCAAGGCGCUGAAGGAGGGGCUUGCGUCCUAUCAGGUAGUUGGUAGGGUAACGGCCUACCAAGCCAAUGACGGGUAGCUGGUCUAAGAGGAUGUCCAGCCACACUGGGACUGAGAUACGGCCCAGACUCCUAUGGGAGGCAGCAGCAAGGAAUUUUGCGCAAUGGGCGAAAGCCUGACGCAGCAACGCCGCGUGGGUGAAGAAGGCUCUCGGGUCGUAAAACCCUUUUAUCGGGGAAGAAGCUCUGACGGUACCCGAUGAAUAAGCCUCGGCUAACUACGUGCCAGCAGCCGCGGUAAUACGUAGGAGGCGAGCGUUAUCCGGAUUUAUUGGGCGUAAAGAGCGCGUAGGCGGUUUACUAAGUCAGUUGUGAAAUCUCCCGGCUCAACUGGGAGGGGUCAAUUGAUACUGGUAGACUUGAGGGCAGCAGAGGGAGGUGGAAUUCCCGGUGUAGCGGUGAUAUGCGUAGAGAUCGGGAGGAACACCAGUGGCGAAGGCGGCCUCCUGGGCUGUUCCUGACGCUGAGGCGCGAAAGCGUGGGUAGCAAACAGGAUUAGAUACCCUGGUAGUCCACGCUGUAAACGAUGGACACUAGGUAUGGGGAGUAUCGACCCUUUCCGUGCCGAAGCUAACGCCAUAAGUGUCCCGCCUGGGGAGUACGGCCGCAAGGCUAAAACUCAAAGGAAUUGACGGGGGCCCGCACAAGCAGCGGAGCGUGUGGUUUAAUUCGACGCAACGCGAAGAACCUUACCAAGGCUUGACAUGUACACGACCGGCAGGGAAACCUGCCUUUCCUUCGGGACGGGUACACAGAUGCUGCAUGGCUGUCGUCAGCUCGUGCCGUGAGGUGUUGGGUUAAGUCUCGCAACGAGCGCAACCCUCGUUGUCAGUUGAAUUCUCUGGCAAGACUGCCCUUUAGAAGGGGAGGAAGGUGAGGAUGACGUCAAGUCAGCACGGCUCUUAUGUCUUGGGCUACACACACGCUACAAUGGGCGGUACAAUGGGUCGCGAAAGAGCAAUCUGGAGCUAAUCCCAUCAAAGCCGUCCCCAGUUCAGAUUGGAGGCUGAAACCCGCCUCCAUGAAGAUGGAGUUGCUAGUAAUUGCAGGUCAGCAUACUGCGGUGAAUACGUUCUCGGGCCUUGUGCACACCGCCCGUCACGUCAUGAAAGCUGACAACACCUGAAGUCGAUGCGCUAACCCCGGAGCUUGUCGAAGGGGGGGCAGUCGCCCAGGGUGGGGUUGGUGAUUGGGACGAAGUCGUAACAAGGU